rnacentral:rRNA from 1 species
AAUGGGUCAGCGACUUAUAUUCUGUAGCAAGGUUAACCGAAUAGGGGAGCCGAAGGGAAACCGAGUCUUAACUGGGCGUUAAGUUGCAGGGUAUAGACCCGAAACCCGGUGAUCUAGCCAUGGGCAGGUUGAAGGUUGGGUAACACUAACUGGAGGACCGAACCGACUAAUGUUGAAAAAUUAGCGGAUGACUUGUGGCUGGGGGUGAAAGGCCAAUCAAACCGGGAGAUAGCUGGUUCUCCCCGAAAGCUAUUUAGGUAGCGCCUCGUGAAUUCAUCUCCGGGGGUAGAGCACUGUUUCGGCAAGGGGGUCAUCCCGACUUACCAACCCGAUGCAAACUGCGAAUACCGGAGAAUGUUAUCACGGGAGACACACGGCGGGUGCUAACGUCCGUCGUGAAGAGGGAAACAACCCAGACCGCCAGCUAAGGUCCCAAAGUCAUGGUUAAGUGGGAAACGAUGUGGGAAGGCCCAGACAGCCAGGAUGUUGGCUUAGAAGCAGCCAUCAUUUAAAGAAAGCGUAAUAGCUCACUGGUCGAGUCGGCCUGCGCGGAAGAUGUAACGGGGCUAAACCAUGCACCGAAGCUGCGGCAGCGACACUAUGUGUUGUUGGGUAGGGGAGCGUUCUGUAAGCCUGUGAAGGUGUACUGUGAGGUAUGCUGGAGGUAUCAGAAGUGCGAAUGCUGACAUAAGUAACGAUAAAGCGGGUGAAAAGCCCGCUCGCCGGAAGACCAAGGGUUCCUGUCCAACGUUAAUCGGGGCAGGGUGAGUCGACCCCUAAGGCGAGGCCGAAAGGCGUAGUCGAUGGGAAACAGGUUAAUAUUCCUGUACUUGGUGUUACUGCGAAGGGGGGACGGAGAAGGCUAUGUUGGCCGGGCGACGGUUGUCCCGGUUUAAGCGUGUAGGCUGGUUUUCCAGGCAAAUCCGGAAAAUCAAGGCUGAGGCGUGAUGACGAGGCACUACGGUGCUGAAGCAACAAAUGCCCUGCUUCCAGGAAAAGCCUCUAAGCAUCAGGUAACAUCAAAUCGUACCCCAAACCGACACAGGUGGUCAGGUAGAGAAUACCAAGGCGCUUGAGAGAACUCGGGUGAAGGAACUAGGCAAAAUGGUGCCGUAACUUCGGGAGAAGGCACGCUGAUAUGUAGGUGAAGCGACUUGCUCGUGGAGCUGAAAUCAGUCGAAGAUACCAGCUGGCUGCAACUGUUUAUUAAAAACACAGCACUGUGCAAACACGAAAGUGGACGUAUACGGUGUGACGCCUGCCCGGUGCCGGAAGGUUAAUUGAUGGGGUUAGCGGUAACGCGAAGCUCUUGAUCGAAGCCCCGGUAAACGGCGGCCGUAACUAUAACGGUCCUAAGGUAGCGAAAUUCCUUGUCGGGUAAGUUCCGACCUGCACGAAUGGCGUAAUGAUGGCCAGGCUGUCUCCACCCGAGACUCAGUGAAAUUGAACUCGCUGUGAAGAUGCAGUGUACCCGCGGCAAGACGGAAAGACCCCGUGAACCUUUACUAUAGCUUGACACUGAACAUUGAGCCUUGAUGUGUAGGAUAGGUGGGAGGCUUUGAAGUGUGGACGCCAGUCUGCAUGGAGCCGACCUUGAAAUACCACCCUUUAAUGUUUGAUGUUCUAACGUUGGCCCGUUAUCCGGGUUGCGGACAGUGUCUGGUGGGUAGUUUGACUGGGGCGGUCUCCUCCUAAAGAGUAACGGAGGAGCACGAAGGUUGGCUAAUCCUGGUCGGACAUCAGGAGGUUAGUGCAAUGGCAUAAGCCAGCUUGACUGCGAGCGUGACGGCGCGAGCAGGUGCGAAAGCAGGUCAUAGUGAUCCGGUGGUUCUGAAUGGAAGGGCCAUCGCUCAACGGAUAAAAGGUACUCCGGGGAUAACAGGCUGAUACCGCCCAAGAGUUCAUAUCGACGGCGGUGUUUGGCACCUCGAUGUCGGCUCAUCACAUCCUGGGGCUGAAGUAGGUCCCAAGGGUAUGGCUGUUCGCCAUUUAAAGUGGUACGCGAGCUGGGUUUAGAACGUCGUGAGACAGUUCGGUCCCUAUCUGCCGUGGGCGCUGGAGAACUGAGGGGGGCUGCUCCUAGUACGAGAGGACCGGAGUGGACGCAUCACUGGUGUUCGGGUUGUCAUGCCAAUGGCACUGCCCGGUAGCUAAAUGCGGAAGAGAUAAGUGCUGAAAGCAUCUAAGCACGAAACUUGCCCCGAGAUGAGUUCUCCCUGACUCCCUGAGAGUCCUGAAGGAACGUUGAAGACGACGACGUUGAUAGGCCGGGUGUGUAAGCGCAGCGAUGCGUUGAGCUAACCGGUACUAAUGAACCGUGAGGCUUAACCUUACAACGCCGAAGCUGUU